CGGUUGAUCCUGCCGGACCCUACUGCUAUCGGGGUGGGACUAAGACAUGCGAGUUGAGCGUCUCCUAAGCUAUUGGUAGAGACGCGGCGUACGGCUCAGUAACACGUGGCCAACCUACCCUUAGGACGGGGAUAACCCCGGGAAACUGGGGCUAAUCCCCGAUAGGCUAGGAGGCCUGGAAUGGCUCCUAGCCGAAAAGACGUUGAAACCAUGCUUUUCGACGUCGCCUAAGGAUGGGGCCGCGCCCGAUCAGGUUGUUGGUGAGGUAACGGCUCACCAAGCCUAUAACCGGUACGGGCCGUGAGAGCGGGAGCCCGGAGAUGGGCACUGAGACAAGGGCCCAGGCCCUACGGGGCGCAGCAGUCGCGAAAACUCCGCAAUGCGCGAAAGCGUGACGGGGCUACCCCGAGUGCCGUCCGCUGAGGGUGGCUUUUCCCCGGUGUAAUGAGCCGGGGGAAUAAGGAGAGGGCAAGUCUGGUGUCAGCCGCCGCGGUAAUACCAGCUCUCCGAGUGGUAGGGAUGAUUAUUGGGCUUAAAGCGUCCGUAGCCGGCUUAGCAAGUCUCCUGUUAAAUUCAGCGACCUAAUCGUUGAGCCGCGGGAGAUACUACUAGGCUAGGAGGCGGGAGAGGCCGACGGUAUUCUCGGGGUAGGGGUGAAAUCCUAUAAUCCCGGGAGGACCACCAGUGGCGAAAGCUGUCGGCUAGAACGCGCUCGACGGUGAAGGACGAAAGCUGGGGGAGCGAACCGGAUUAGAUACCCGGGUAGUCCCAGCUGUAAACGAUGCGGGCUAGGUGUUGGGGUGGCUACGAGCCACCUCAGUGCCGCAGGGAAGCCAUUAAGCCCGCCGCCUGGGGAGUACGGCCGCAAGGCUGAAACUUAAAGGAAUUGGCGGGGGAGCAC
rnacentral:rRNA from 1 species